rnacentral:rRNA from 1 species
AUUGAACGCUGGCGGCAUGCCUUACACAUGCAAGUCGAACGGCAGCGGACCUUCGGGUGCCGGCGAGUGGCGAACGGGUGAGUAAUAUAUCGGAACGUACCUUUCAGUGGGGGAUAACGUAGCGAAAGUUACGCUAAUACCGCAUAUUCUGUGAGCAGGAAAGCAGGGGAUCGCAAGACCUUGCGCUGAUUGAGCGGCCGAUAUCAGAUUAGCUAGUUGGUGAGGUAAAGGCUCACCAAGGCGACGAUCUGUAGCGGGUCUGAGAGGAUGAUCCGCCACACUGGAACUGAGACACGGUCCAGACUCCUACGGGAGGCAGCAGUGGGGAAUUUUGGACAAUGGGCGCAAGCCUGAUCCAGCCAUGCCGCGUGAGUGAAGAAGGCCUGGUUGUAAAGUCGUCUUUCGUCCGGGAACGAAAGUACGACACAGGUUAAUAACCCUGUGUUGGAGUGACGGUACCGGAA